AUGACACCAGCACUAGCUUUGUUAAUCUUGCUAGCAGCCCCCCUGGGUGUCCUGUCACAGAUCACGCUGAAGGAGUCUGACUCUGGGGUGGUGAAGCCCGGAGAGACCCUCAGCCUGACCUGCACCGUGUCUGGAUUCUCUCUCACUAGCUAUGGUGUAGAGUGGGUUCGGCAGGCAGCAGAAGAAAGGCUGCAGUGGGUAGGAGUUAUCUGGAGUAGUGGAAGCACUAACUAUAACAGCGCUCUCCAAAGCCGCCUCACCAUCAGCAGAGACACGUCCAGCAGCCAAGUUUACCUGCGCCUGACCGGGGUCCAGCCUGCAGACACAGCCCAGUAUUACUGUGCCAAACACACAGUGAAUGAAAUUCUCCGUCUGUCCUUCUUGCAGGAAUACAAGGGACAGACUCCCCAGCCUGGCAGCCAGGACUCAGGCUGCCGCCAGCCUGCUGUGCUAUUAUAG